rnacentral:rRNA from 1 species
AUUGAACGCUGGCGGCAUGCUUUACACAUGCAAGUCGAACGGUAACAGGCCGCAAGGUGCUGACGAGUGGCGAACGGGUGAGUAAUGCAUCGGAACGUGCCCAGUCGUGGGGGAUAACGCAGCGAAAGCUGCGCUAAUACCGCAUACGAUCUCUGGAUGAAAGCGGGGGACCGAAAGGCCUCGCGCGAUUGGAGCGGCCGAUGUCAGAUUAGGUAGUUGGUGGGGUAAAGGCCCACCAAGCCAACGAUCUGUAGCUGGUCUGAGAGGACGACCAGCCAGACUGGGAGUGGGACACGGCCCAGACUCCUACGGGAGGCAGAAGGGGGGAAUUUUGGACAAUGGGCGCAAGCCUGAUCCAGCCAUGCCGCGUGCAGGAAGAAGGCCUUCGGGUUGUAAACUGCUUUUGUACGGAACGAAACGGUCCGGGUUAAUACCCUGGGCUAAUGACGGUACCGUAAGAAUAAGCACCGGCUAACUACGUGCCAGCAGCCGCCGUAAGAC